UAAAAAAUUUUGGCGGUAUUUUAAGCUUAUUAGAGGAAUUUGCUCUGUGAUGGACACAACGCCUUAAUCUUACUUAAUUUAGUAAUUUAAAUCAGUUUGUAUACCACUAUAUUAAUUAUAUUGAAUAGUUAUAUUUAAAAUUUUUUUAAAAAAAAUAUAUUAAGUCAAGGUGCAUCUAAUAAUUAUGAAUGAAGUGAAUUACAUUAAUUUUAAUGUAAUUUUUACAUGAAAAAAAUUAAUUAGGAUUUAAUAGUAAAAUACUAAUAUUAUGAGUAUUUGAAUCAAGCUCUAAAAUAUGCACAUAUCGCCCGUCGCUCUCAGAAGUGAGAUAAGUCGUAACAAAGUAAAAAUACUGGAAAGUGUUUUUUAAAAUGAAAUCAUUUGAUGUUUCAUUUACAAUGAAAAUUUUGUUGUUUAACCAUUUUAA
rnacentral:rRNA from 1 species